UCUCAUUUCUGUCUAGCUCUUAAAUGUCAGAGCACCUCAUGAUUCUAUCUUUAGGCACCUUCUCUUCUUAUACAGGAGCCCCCCUUGAUGGCAGUUUUGCUUUCUGUGGUUUCAGUUACCCAUACUCAACUGCAGUAUAGAAGCAGAUGAUACUUCUGCUGGAUCAUCGGAAGAUUCCCUAAAAUGGUUGUGGGGACACCAGGGAGUCUAAGACCACACUCUGAACUGCUGACAGAAGAAAGCAGGAGGAGACAAAGCUCCCAAAAGAGAGCCUUGGGACAUCAACUAGUUGACCUCAAGUUCCCAUUCUAAAAACCUGAUUCCUCUGACCUUCUUCAUAUGUCGGUUUCUUUCAGAUUACCUCUGGAAGUCCAUUAGAAGCUACAAUUCCAAGAGAAUUCAUAAAAGUUGUUUUGCUAUCCGUGCACUCCUGUUCUGACCUCGCCUUGGUGUUCGAGGUGAACCAUUAAAAGUCCUUCCAACAAAUAUACAACACAGUGAAAGAUGUUUGUUGGCCUGAAUCACAUACACACCAGAACAGCAAAAUAGCUUUGGAAAAACAAGUACCAAAUAAGAAGUUAAAGGACUCACUUGAGGACAUGGCCAGUAAGUGGGAAACCCAAGUCUAACUCCAUGAUCCAUGCCCUUGACCACUAUGCCAGACUGGUAAACCUCCUUCAGAGCGUAAUUAACUUUGAUCAUGUCAACAAGGAGGGUGCACUCUUGCUCCUAGUGAAGGUUUCCCUUCCAACAUUCCCACUUAGGCCAGAUAUAAUGCAACAGAGAGAAGAUCUCAGCUUCAAGGUACAGACAGAUUCCAUCACUGAAAAUGCAGGUGGAGCGGGCCCUGAAUCCAUCCCUAAGCAGGACGCUUGGCUUUGGAUUGCCAGGCACUAGUUUCACCCUUGCUAAGCAGCUAGUCUACACAGUUCAACUGCCCGUACUAGCAAAACCUUUCGGGGGGUAUGGUUAAUCAAGAGUGGAGUGUAUCCUGUAUGGUUUUACUUACAGGAAAAUUUUUUAUAGUUCCAUCAUUUAAAAGUAAAUAAUGCAAUGUUGGGGUGGGGAAGAAAGGCCUUCUUUUCCCAGGUGGGGGCCCUAAUUUGAAUAUUUCUGGUUACCCUACAAUAAUCCAGAGGACGCUUCCAAAGCUCCGUGGUAAACAUGGAACUCUUUAUAGAGUAGAUUUACUGCUUUUUCCAAAUGAAAACGUUCAAGUACUGGACACAACAGAGCUUAAUCAGAAAUUAAAUUUGCUUUCAGAACAGCUUGACUGUUUUUCCCCCCAAUUAGCGAGUGUGAUUUUUAACUGACCUGUAAGACAACCCAUUUCAACAUAUGUAUUUUUAACAGCUUUUCACAGGCCAUCCCAGAAGCCCAUUCCAAUCGUUCACAAUCUAUCUGAACCCUGUUAGUGUCUAGCAAGUUCAAAGAAUAGGGCUUAGUAAUGGAC